UCAUAGCUUUAGCCUGGAUUCACCUAGUCUUUCUAAGUCAUGGAAGGAGCAGCUGUUCUUAAUGUUUUGUCUACCCAGUGUAAAGCACUACAGAUAAUCAAGUGCUAUUUGCAUGUGAUGCAUUUGUUCUGUUGUUUACAGGAUGAUGUGUAUCUUAUAGAGCGUGGCUUUAAGGGAAUAGUAUGGUCACAGGUAGAUAAAAAAGAAUGUGAAAAAUUAACAGAGAAAAUGUAUAUCAACACACUACCUAUUCAUAAAAGUAUUUAUUAAUCAUCUACAUAUUCAUAUUGAGCUUCUACGUCUGUGUACAGGAACGUAUUAUUUGGAAGAGAAAAUGUAUCAGCUUAUUGUUAAAUAAUUAUGACGUUCUUUCCAAUACAAAAAGUGUAGUAACUAUUGUUUCCAAACUGCGUUACCCACUCCAGACAGCAGAUGGCGACGAGCAUCUUUCAGUUGACUCUUCUUUCGUGACGUAUAAUGGACUGGACUGGACACUUCGUCAGGAACAACAAGGCGCCAACUCUUUCAACCACGUCGGUAGCUUGCUAGCCAACAUAAAACUGAAAGAUUGACGUUUUAGACCAUGUUAAUGUACAUUAUCUAAUCUCAGUGUUUUAAACGAUUUUCGGUUGACGUAUCAACUGGUUCAAUUUGCAAACGUGUUAAAGAUUGAUACUGAGCCUAGCACUAGGCUAGACGCUAAUGCUAGCUAGCUAACAUCCCUGACCAUGAGCUCACUAAACUACUCCUCCCUUGCUAAUGAAGAGGGGUUCGGCUGUUUGGAGAAAUCAUUUUUCAGAAUUAAAAAGGAGGAAGAGGAGGCUGUUAUAGUGAAAGAAGAGAAAGAUCCGUUUAGAGAGGAAGAGGAUGCUAUCUCAAUAAAGGUGAAGAAGGAAGACGUUUUGGCAGUGAAAGGAGGAGACAGAAUAUCAGAUUAACACCAGAGAGACACAUGACUAUCGUGGAUCCUCUGGGAAGCCUCAACAACAUCCUGAUGCUGACGAGGAAGAGAAGAGUCUCUCCAGAUCAGAACACCAGAUGGACAACACUAGCCCUUCCUCCCUCCCGGAGUCCCCGUGUCAUGCCUCUCCUGUUAGCACCUUACUGCUGGGUAUGAAGAGGUUGUCUGUGCUGCUGGUGGACUGCAGGAAAACAACGGGGCUGAGUGGAACUGUGGGAGGAGGAGAAGAGAGGAAAGGAUCAGAUUUGACUCAAAGUAAGUGCUGUAGUUCAGUUUGAACAAAUAAAUAGAUAUAUUCAUUGGUAUCUGUUACCAGGACAACCAGCACUGUUCUGUUCGUUUUCAGGAAGAUAGACUGGUGAAUAUGGAUGUUAUGAAUAUCAUAACACUGAAAAAGGAUUCUGCCAAUGAAAAGAGAGAAAGCAGUAGACCAUAUAAAACCUUGAUGAAAGUUAGAUUUAGAGAGAAAGUUUCAAGAUGAUCCAUUGUAAGGUGCUUGUUUUACAUAAAUGUUUUCUCAAAACAUUAUGGAUGUUACAUUGCCUGUCCCAGUCAACCCCCCUAUCUUUACUAGACUGUAGAACAGGCAAACCAAACUCAAGACACUGUUAAUUAAUUAACUAAUACUGGAGGAAAGCUGUGAUCAGGCUGCCUACUCAAGAGAAAGCUUCAAACUGUAACCAGUGCCUGCAACCUGGUUCAGGUUAUCAAUCAACCUACCAGGGUAGUUACAAACAGUACAGAAAUUGAAUCAACAUAUUUUGAUCAUAUCUUUACUAUUGCUGCAGAAAUGUGUUUGAAAGCAGUAUUCAAAUUCAUCGGAUGUUGUGAUCACAAUAUAGUAGUCAUAUCUAGGAAAACCAAAGUUCCAAAAGGCUAGGCCUAGUGUUCUAUAUAAGAGGUCAUACAAUUGUUUGUGGUGAUUCCUAUGUUGUUGAUGUUAUUAGGUUGUUUUUUUUCACAGUAAAUAACUCACGAACACUAGAGAAGCUUUAACCAAGUUUAAUAAUUCCCAAAGGUUCUGUACAUCUGUAAUUCAGACAACCCAACAUUUGUUCCAUCCAGAUAUAUAUCCCACUUAAGACACUCCUCCUUCUCUCCAAUCCUUACAUCUUAUGGUUCCACAGGAAGAGAGUAAAGAGGGUAACAGGAUACCAGACCUUUAUCUCCCUGAUGAGAAUCUGUCCUGACCUCAACCCCUCCUUCAUCUAAUCCACAGAUGUUCAUCUGUCUCCCCUGUUUAACACUUUGCUCUCCUCUCGUCCACCCAACACAUUCCAAAGCCAUCUGUCUUUCUUCAGAGAACCAUUAACUUCUGACAUAACACCCAGUCUCUUUCACUUCCUAUCACUUCUUUAAUGUCUCCAUGUUCAAAGUUUAGCCGAUUCCAACAAUGGAAACAAUAUUUGUUGGUCCGUGGUGUGUAAUGACGAGCAACCAGACGCUGCCCUUGACACGUUUAUGAAAUUGCUUAUCCCAGUUACUAAUAAGCAAGCACCCAUUAAGAAAAUGACUUUAAAAACUG